GCACAACAUAAUCUGAAACAACCGAAGCAAACAGCAAAUGCAUCCAACAAAUCUGUAGUCACAAGAUCGAUGUAGUCAUUCCAUGCUAUGAAUAUGGGUCCAAAUACUUCACUUUUACUGCACAUAUGUGAAUUUGUUUGGAUUCCUAAAAUGGGGCCACUAUGUACAAAAUGUGCUGUAAUUUCUAAACGUUUCACACGAUAUGUAUGAAAAUACCUUCCAAUUAAAGCUGACAGUCAGCACCAGUAUUCAGUGCCCCCUGUAAUUAUUGAGACAGUGCAGCAUAGUGUUUUCUUCUUUUGGCUCUAUACUCCAAAAGUUUGGAUGUUAAAUCAAAAUGUUGGAGUAUAGAGUCAAAAGAAGAAAACACGCUACACUGUAUAUAACUAAAUACUGGACACAUCUAGACCACUGGUUCUAUUCAAUCCACAUCUACUGGCAGAUUCCUGUAAUACACAUGGUAACAAGCUAGGUCAUUUAUCUACUGGCAGAUUCCUGUAAUACACACGGUAACAAGCUAGGUCAUUUAUCUACUGGCAGAUUCCUGUAAUACACACGGUAACAAGCUAGGUCAUUUAUCUACUGGCAGAUUCCUGUAAUACACAUGGUAACAAGCUAGGUCAUUUAUCUACUGGCAGAUUCCUGUAAUACACAUGGUAACAAGCUAGGUCAUUUAUCUACUGG
rnacentral:lncRNA from 1 species